CAGUCGCCGCGGUAAUACGGAGGGAGCUAGCGUUAUUCGGAAUUACUGGGCGUAAAGCGCACGUAGGCGGCUUUGUAAGUAAGAGGUGAAAGCCCGGAGCUCAACUCCGGAACUGCCUUUUAGACUGCAUCGCUUGAAUCCAGGAGAGGUGAGUGGAAUUCCGAGUGUAGAGGUGAAAUUCGUAGAUAUUCGGAAGAACACCAGUGGCGAAGGCGGCUCACUGGACUGGUAUUGACGCUGAGGUGCGAAAGCGUGGGGAGCAAACAGGAUUAGAUACCCCAGUAGUCCCUGUCUCUUAUAC
rnacentral:rRNA from 1 species